rnacentral:rRNA from 1 species
UACGGGGGGGGCAAGCGUUGUUCGGAAUUACUGGGCGUAAAGGGCGCGUAGGCGGUUUGCUAAGUUGGGGGUGAAAUCCCGGGGCUCAACCCCGGAACUGCCUUCAAAACUCCCAGUCUGGAGGUCGAGAGAGGUGAGUGGAAUUCCGAGUGUAGAGGUGAAAUUCGUAGAUAUUCGGAGGAACACCAGUGGCGAAGGCGGCUCACUGGCUCGAUACUGACGCUGAGGUGCGAAAGCGUGGGGAGCAAACAGG